ACCAGAGUGAGCCACAGGCAACACAUGUUCUAAACCAACCCUGUUCACCCUGGACCUACUAUUUUUGCACUCACCUCCCUGGUUCUCAGAUUUCUGGCUCCGGUUCCCAGCUGCCAUAGCCCCUUUGGUCCCUUCACUUUGGUGACCCUUUAGGCUUCCCUUUUUAGACCACAGCUGUCACAUGUUUCUGACUCAACUUGCUUCUGCCAUGCCAGCGUCACCCCUGGUCUCAGGAAGCCAGGCACCCCGAAUGGAGAGACCAGCUGAAGCCGCGGCAGAAGAACAAAAAUUGUGAAGAUUUAAUGGACAUUUAUCAGUUCCCAAAAUUAAUAUUUUUAUAAUUUCUUACGCCUGUCUUUACUGCAAUCUCUGAACAUAAAUUGUGAAGAUUUCAUGGAUAUUUAUCACUUCCCCAAUCAAUACUCUUAUAAUUUCUUAUGUUUGUCUUUAAUCUCUUAAUCCCGUCAUCUUUGUAAGCUGAGGAUGUAUGUCACCUCAGGACCCUGUGAUGAUUGCAUUAACUGUACAGAUUGUAAAACGUGUGUUUGAACAAUAUGAAACCAGUGCACCCUGAAAAAGGACAGAAUAACAGUGAUUUUCAGGGAACAAAAGAGAUAAUCAUAAGGCCUGACUGCCUGCGGGGUUGGGCAGAACACAGCCAUAUUUUUCUUCUCGCAGAAAGCCUAUAGAUGGAUGUGUGAGUAGGAGAAAUAUUGCUGAAUUCUUUUCCCAGCAAGGAAUAUUAAUAAUUGAUAGCCCUGGGGAAGGAAUGCAUUCCUGGGGGGAGGUCUAUGAACGCCUGCUCUGGGAUUGUCUGUCUUAUGUGGUUGAGAUAAGGACUGAAAUACACCCUGGUCUCCCGCAGUGCCCUCAGGCUUGCUAGGAUUGGGAAAUUCCAGCCUGGUGAAUUCUAGUCAGACCGGUUGUCUGCUCUCAAACUCUCUUUCCUGUUAAGAUGUUUAUCAAGACAAUGCAUGCACAGGAGGACAUGGACCCUCAUCAGUAAUUCUAAUUUUGCCCUUGCCUUGUGAUCUUUUAUUGCCCUUUGAAGCAUGUGAUCCUUGUGACCUACUCCCUGUUCGUACAUCUACUCUCCUUCUAAAAUCCUAAUAAAAACUUGCUGGUUUUGCAGCUCAGGGUCGCCAUCACGGUCCUACCAAUAUGUGAUGGCACCCCCAGAGGCCCAGCUGUAAAACUUCU
ensembl:lncRNA novel transcript